rnacentral:rRNA from 1 species
GUGCCAGCAGCCGCGGUAAUACGUAGGGGGCGAGCGUUGUCCGGAGUUACUGGGCGUAAAGGGCACGCAGGCGGUCUACUGCGUUUGGAGUGACAGUUGUCGGCUUAACUGACAAAGGACUCUGAAAACGGGUAGACUUGAGGCCUUGAGAGGGAGACGGAAUUCCGGGUGGAGCGGUGAAAUGCGUAGAGAUCCGGAGGAACACCGAAGGCGAAGGCAGUCUCCUGGCAAGGAUCUGACGCUCAGGUGCGAAAGCUAGGGGAGCGAACAGGAUUAGAUACCCUGGUAGUCCACGCCCUAAACGAUGAUCACUAGGUGUUGGCGGAGCAAUCUGCUGGUACCGUAGCUAACGCGUGAAGUGAUCCGCCUGGGGAGUACGGUCGCAAGAUUAAAACUCAAAGGAAUUGACGG